GGCUGGUCUGAAGAUAGUCAGUAUUCUCAGUUUUGAUCGUUCACUCAGUUACAGAUUGAUCUUCAUGUUCUGCUCUUUCCCGUUUUCUCACUACUGCAUUUAACUAGUCUUAA
rnacentral:Y_RNA from 1 species